AAUGAGGGCAUCGGUGGCCGUCCCAAUUCCUUGGGCAGGGCUGGCUCUCGCUGUUUCUCUUCCCCGCGACUCGGUCUUCCUGCAGUUCAGUCGGAGGUGAAGAAAAGCGGCACCUAGCCUGACGCAAGGGCACCGGAUAGGAACGAGAAAUAGACGACCGCUCCUCGGCGGUGCCAGGAAGCAAAAUGGAGGUUGCAGCGGCAGACGCUCCGGGGCCAGGGAUACAACCCACGCCACAGCAGUGAUGAUGCCAGAUCCUUACCCCACUGCACCACAGUGGGACCUCCCAAGAGAGAUAUGAAGAGGAACAGAGGGAGUAGAGUGCAGAGAGAAGAAUCCUGCUCAGUCAAGACUACUCACAGAGCCAGCAUCCAUGAGGAAAGCUCCAUCCCUGCUCAGCUUCUCCACUGAAAGCUGAAGAAUAGGCGGCUGAGUGAUGGAUACUGAAGAACAUCAUCUGGCACAUCAUUUGAUCAAUAAAUUUUGACAUCUUUCUAGUGGACAG